AGAGUUUGAUCCUGGCUCAGGAUGAACGCUAGCGGGAGGCCUAACACAUGCAAGUCGAGCGGGAUUUCCCUUCGGGGAUUGAGAGCGGCGCACGGGUGAGUAACGCGUAUGCAACCUGCCUUUUACAGGGGAAUAGCCCGGAGAAAUCCGGAUUAAUGCCCCAUGGUACCUGGAAACCGCAUGGUUUUCCGGUUAAAGCUCCGGCGGUAAAAGAUGGGCAUGCGUGACAUUAGCUAGUUGGCGGGGUAACGGCCCACCAAGGCUACGAUGUCUAGGGGUUCUGAGAGGAUGAUCCCCCACACUGGUACUGAGACACGGACCAGACUCCUACGGGAGGCAGCAGUGAGGAAUAUUGGUCAAUGGGCGCAAGCCUGAACCAGCCAUCCCGCGUGAAGGACGACGGUCCUAUGGAUUGUAAACUUCUUUUGUACGGGAAGCACGUGCGCUAUGUAUAGCGUAUUGACGGUACCGUACGAAUAAGCAUCGGCUAACUCCGUGCCAGCAGCCGCGGUAAUACGGAGGAUGCGAGCGUUAUCCGGAUUCAUUGGGUUUAAAGGGUGCGUAGGCGGCCCGGUAAGUCAGCGGUGAAAGUUUGCGGCUCAACCGUAAAAUUGCCGUUGAUACUGUCGGGCUUGAGUUCAGAUGAAGUGGGCGGAAUGAGUAGUGUAGCGGUGAAAUGCUUAGAUAUUACUCAGAACACCGAUUGCGAAGGCAGCCCACUAAACUGCGACUGACGCUGAUGCACGAAAGCGUGGGGAUCGAACAGGAUUAGAUACCCUGGUAGUCCACGCCGUAAACGAUGUUCACUCGCUGUUUGCGAUAUAUUGCAAGCGGCCAAGCGAAAGCAUUAAGUGAACCACCUGGGGAGUACGAUCGCAAGGUUGAAACUCAAAGGAAUUGACGGGGGCCCGCACAAGCGGAGGAACAUGUGGUUUAAUUCGAUGAUACGCGAGGAACCUUACCCGGGCUUAAAUGUAGGCUGCAUGAGGUGGAAACACCCUUCCCUUCGGGGCUGCCUACAAGGUGCUGCAUGGUUGUCGUCAGCUCGUGCCGUGAGGUGUCGGGUUAAGUCCCAUAACGAGCGCAACCCCUAUCGUUAGUUGCCAUCGGGUGAAGCCGGGAACUCUAGCGAGACUGCCACCGUAAGGUGAGAGGAAGGUGGGGAUGACGUCAAAUCAGCACGGCCCUUAUGUCCGGGGCUACACACGUGUUACAAUGGACGGUACAGAGGGCCGCUACCCCGCGAGGGGAUGCCAAUCUCGAAAGCCGUUCUCAGUUCGGAUCGCAGUCUGAAACCCGACUGCGUGAAGUUGGAUUCGCUAGUAAUCGCGCAUCAGCCAUGGCGCGGUGAAUACGUUCCCGGGCCUUGUACUCACCGCCCGUCA
rnacentral:rRNA from 1 species